rnacentral:misc_RNA from 1 species
UUUCCGUAGGUGAACCUGCGGAAGGAUCAUUAUUGUAUAACCGAGGUGCGUGGGCUGUCGCUGACCCGAAAGGUCGUGCACGCCCGAGUGCCCUCACACACAUACAUCUCACCCCUAUGUGCACCACCGCGUGGGUCCCCCUUUGGCUUGUUCGGAGGGGGGCUUACGUUUUCACACAAACUUUGUAUGCAGUGUAGAAUGUAUUUUUUGUUUUUGCGAUCACGCAAUCAAUACAACUUUCAACAACGGAUCUCUUGGCUCUC